AGAAGUCGCAAGAUGGCGUCAUUACGUAAAAAUGACGUCACUUUUACACUUACGCUGUCCCUCAGUCUCUCAUGCAAUGACAAAUUCUCCAAAGUAAAAAAAAACAUGUUUGAAGGAGAACAAAAAGGAACCGAUUAAAUAAUUAGACAGCACAGAAAAAAAAUGUAAGGUAGAUAAAUGUAUAUUUUUUUACUUAAAACAAAAAAAAAGAUUAUUUAUGCCUUGGAGAGCUGUGGUUCCAUUUAACAACAAGUACCGGAUUUAAUACAUUCGCUCCACUCGCUGCAGCAACGUGGAGAGGACAAGAGGCUAGAGGGGAGAGAGGCUAGGGAGGGUGCAGAGAGUGGCGGGGGAAGGGGCGCAAGUGACCGCUGCACACACACGCGGAGCCUCAGAGAGGGAGCAGACUGCAGAGCAGUAGUGCUGAGUAAUGCAGGCCUGGUUUCGACCAGACAGAGAAUGGAUGCUCCUGAGUGAGUACUCCCACAGGGACUAAGCAGAGAGCCUCUGUCCUGGUGCGGUCACACAGCAAGAGAGAGGGGGGUAGAGGUCGGGCUGACAUCCAGUGCAACCCUUCAACCUCCAGGACAGCCAGGGAGAGUUGAGCUCCAUCUGCUCCUGUCCGUGUGUCUGCAGUGUCGGUGCCAGGCUCCACAUGCCACUCAGCAGCAGAACAGAGCCUUAGCCUUACUUCUCCUGCGCCACCCUGUCCUGCCAACACUGCAGAACAGUUAGGCAGUGCCUUUACUGUGAUAAUGGGACUUGGGACGGGGAGUGCGGCAGACUGGCUGGGCAGGACGGUGUCCCAUGCUGCUCUCCCACUCUAUCAGUGGCUCGUGUAUUACUUUACUCAGUCUGUGGGAUCUCAAGUGAAACUGUUCAAGUUCUUAUCAUAGAGGCGUCAUAGAGGCAGGUGUCAUGACCAUAGGGGGCACAAGGUCAUGUGCCCCCUCAGAUUUGUCCUGUUUAAAAUUAUCCAGAUAUUUCAGAUGUUCAAUUAAUUACUAAACUUCCUUUUCAAGUGCAGGUUUUAUAAUUAUUUAUCAAAAUAUCUAUAAGCUGUAUUGCGGAGGUGCCACACUGACUGAACCAAGCAAAGAGUACACCUCCCCUAUUUUCCCUAGCAAGUGGUUCUUUGUGCAUGUGACAAAUAACACUUGAAACUUCCUUCCAAGGAGCAAAGAUAUGCUAGAUAGUCUAUGUCUAGUGCGUGCAGACAGUAUCGUCAGUGGAGGAGGAGAGAGUGUAGAGUGAUACCAGCUCCAUACAAACACACAGCAUUUGAUUUUAGCUGUCGAUGAUGGGCAGGAUUCGCAGGAGGUAUAUUUGUAAAUUAAUUGUUUGUAAAUUAAUCAAGCUAUGUAGCCUAUUUAAGCCUUCUUGGUGAAUAAAUACAACCAAUAUGC